AUAAAGCCCCCGAGCCCAAUUGCCGUUCCCCAAAUCCCUCCACCCAGAUCCAGCGCCGCCGCACCAACUACUCCACCGCCGUCCCUUCCAAACCCUGUUCUCCCCUUCCUUGUGCGGCGCCGCCCCUACCUCUCUUCCUCCGCUGACCUCCCGUUCGGUGGAAGCAGCGCAGCCAUUGCCGGAUCUGGCCGGGCUGGUCAUCGGUGCUGUUCGGAUCUGGCCGCGCUGGUCGUCCGUGCUGCCGGAUCUGGCUGCUCCGGGCCUCAUCAACGCCGCCCCGGUUGUUCAACUCUCCACCGCCACUUCCCCAUCAUCAUUCCAUAUGCCUUGCCCGGAUCCGUGAGAGGGUAAGAUCGGGAGUGUAGCCGCUUGUCUCCCGAGGAGCUCGUCCCCGACGGCCUCUCUAUGGACUUCCUCCACCACACUCCCAACGCCACUGCCUUCAAAACGCGGUCCCAUAACCCAGUACUUUCGCGGGAAAAGCACCAGAUCGUCCAUCGACCGCGAGCUGCAUCGACAUCGAGCGUUCCUCUUCUUGGUGGGGCGUGCACCUUCUGGGGGUGAAGGCCUGCAGCACCUGCUGCUAUGGAGAACGGAUGGCGCGGUGGUCGUAGGGCUGCUCCAAAACUCCUCCUACAGUUGUCACCAGUCACACCACGACGCCUCUCUCUUCAUCGAGCUCAUCACCUAAGCUGGCAUCUUCAUUUCAAAAAUAGAUAAAAGAGGAAAAGGGGAUACCAGAAGACACAAGCAUCUGGAAGUAUUCUAAGUGUAUGGCAGAAGCAAGCUGAGGUAUCUCAAAGAUACACAAGUUGCUGGAGGUUUGGAAGAUGUACAAGUUGCUGGAGGUUUGGACGAUCUUACAAGUUGGUGGAGUGAUAAUAUAUAUUACCUCCAUCCCAAAUUACGUUGUCUUAGACUAGAAGGUGUUUUGGUACAUCCGUAUCUAGACAAAUAAUUUGGGAGAUAGGGAGUAUGUAAUAUGCCUUCUUUGUUGAGCCUGAAGAUUUUGCAAGUUUCACUUUGCUCAUUUUGGUGGUUGUUUUGGCACAUAAGCCAUGGAAUGCUCAUUUUGGAUGUGUGGCACAAUUUCUUUUCCUAGAAACAUAUGUACUUUGCAUUGUGGCAGAAUGUUCUUAUGUAUUUGAUUGGUUAAUGUUAUUGAAUGAGACCUUGCAUGUAA